AUUAAGUUGGCGAUAAGGUUAUUAAAUUCGUUAGGAUUUAAAUUAAAAAACGUUUAAAACUGUUUGAAAAUUUAAUUUCAUCAUUGAACACUUUUAUAUUGGUUUUAUCUUCAUCAUGGUUGUAGGAGAUAUCAUGGAGAAUAUUCUCUAAUUUCUCCUUUGGCAGGUCGAAGCACGAUGCCCUUGGCCGAAGGAGUGUAAUUGUUUUCCCAUAAAGAUUUAUUUAAAACUCUUCCAAAUAAGAAAAAAGCAUUCACCGAUAAGUAGCACAGCAAUAUGGCCAGGAUUUUUUUAGCAACUGAGAAUUUCGAAUAGAAUUGGUAAACCCAUUUUCCGGUUACGUGUUUAAUUGUAAGAACCCAUAUGGUAUAUAAAAGAAUAUACGCGAAAAUAAUUAUGGCACAAUACGAUGCGUUCGGAGACGGACAUUUACAUAUCACGAUGUCGAUGAUUUGUAAAAUUAUCUCGUUGGUCGUACAUAUGUGCACUAGCCAUAGAGGAAGCUUUUCUUGCCCGUUGUAAUAAUAUUGACUGGCUGCCACCGAGAUGUAAAAGAGCCAAAAAGUACACCCUGAGCUGAUUGUUAAGGGAAACGUCACACUGGAUCUCAUGUAACCUUGAAAUUUCGCCAAAUUCUUCGGAGUGUCAGGAAGUUUUUUAACUAUCCUCAAAAUAUCCAUGGACAACGCAAACGCACAGUAGAUCAUCUGUAAAGUAUUACACCAAGUCACGAGAUAUUUGAAACUGUAGCCGAAUCUAUCGAAAUAGGAGUUGGCCAUCUUGUAAGACACCCUGAAAUGUACGAAGACCGCCGUCGACGAAUUGAUCGUAGCAACGGUGUGAAGAAUUGUGGACAGAACGAGGUAAACUUUUGGAUGCCGUUCUGCAUAUUCAACUUCCAUCCUUCGAAACAAUGGAGAAUUUCAAAGACUUCCAAACAUUACAACACAUUACAACAACUGCUUUUUAUUCCAAAAAUAAAAACAUCUGAUAUGUAAUCAAUUUUCAAAGUUGUAAUAAUAAAUAGGUUUAAUUGAUUUUUAAGAUAGAUACAAAACGAAUUGUUAUAUUAUCAAGCGACCUCUAGAAACACUUUUUCUCUAAAUCGAAUAAAAUCUACCCGCAUGACUUGCCAGACUCGCGUAUGUGAUAGGCCUUCGCGUCGUUAAGGUAUGUAUGCCUGAAGAAACACAUACAAUUUUCUUGUUGGAAGAACAUAGGCUCAGGGACAGUCAACAUAUGUUCUAAUCGAAAACAUAACAAAGAUUAACUUAUUUAUGAUUAAUGAUGAUGAUUAUUUAAAAAGGAGGUCAUCGUCCUAGGUUAUAUACAUUUCCUUUUUUGUGUUUUCCUUCAUCUUUCCUUUUUUAUGUUUUCAAAGGUGGAAUAUACAGGGUGUUGUUUUUAGCUGAAUUUCUCUUGAUCAGAUGUUAUCGAAAAACCAAAAAAAAUGUUAAUGUACUAGCCAGAUCGUGUAUACAGCUGUACGUCUAUCGAGCUGCGUUUCUGGUACCCAGAUCGAGGAGGGGCGAAAUUUUAUUUCUCUUCAUCUAUGCUUACGGGUCUAGGACGUGCGAGGUUGUGUUCUGCGCCGUGUAAAGAGGAGACACGUUCACUUCGUGGCCGCUCUUGCGGCACCGCAGCGUGUUCGCGGCGAAGUUGUAUGCGAUUUGGCACGCGCUGGGGGUAAUUCCAGACAAUGGGGGCUAUGACUAUCUCAUCUGUACCGACUCCCUGAGGGCGGCUUCGACUAUUCGUGACAGAUUUUCGGCGGACACUCUCAUCCUUCUCCUAUUAGGUAUUCUGAGUUGAGACGUCUCGGAAAAAGCGUGAUGGUCGUCUGGGUACUUGGGCACGUUGGACUGGAGGACGAACAUGCAGAAGAAGAGGCGAAAGCUGUGACGGCUUGCUCACCAGACAGAACCACCACGGCCAGGUCCUGUGAAGCUGUACGAACAGUAAAGAACGGAAUAAAAGGACAGGAGAAGCACUUGCUUGUCAAAAGCACGGCUGAGAGAAGGCCCGCCGAGUAUCUGAAACGCAAGGAAGGGAUCGUGCUCACCCGUUUGAGGAUAGGUCAUACUUGAUUGACACACGGAAACUGCUUUUGGGGGAAACCCUAUGAGGAUGUCCCGCUUGUGGAGAAAGAUUGCUUAGUGUCUAUGGCCCAAGUAAAUCCCCGAAUCAAGUAUCCAUGUCAUCACUAAUAUCCCAAGUUGCUGGCAUUCUGUGGCAUAAUUUAAUCUGAUUUUGGCAUCCUUUUCAGUGUAAAACAUUUUUUUAAACAGUGUGUAAAAAAGUAUACGUUCUCAUUUGAAAUUUCCAAGUUGUACUGGCUCUGAAGUACCUUGACAACAAAUAUUUAAAAAAAAAUGGUAAAGAUAAAUCUACAAUAAAAAAUAUUAAAUAUGUGAUUUUUGGUUUUUCGAUAACUUUAUCUCUUCAAGAGAAAUUCAGCCGGGACAUCUAAAAAGUACACCCUGUGUAAGGAUUUAAGAAGUCUAACGAAUUACUACCGCAACAGACCCAAGAUUCUGAAUGGACUCCUGAAAGAGCACUGCCGCCUAAGAGGGACAGGUACCUGAUUACAGUAGACAGAAGAAACAGUGUGCAGAUUUGCCUGAAAGAGGAGGAGGCCGCAGAACAUUUUAUGCGAAGGUGUAGAUUAAAUUUGUAGAUUCUUGUAACUAGGAGAGGAAAGCCACAAGCAAGAUCCUACACUAAAGAACCGCUCGCAAAGCUAUGCAUGUGGAUUUACUUUAUCAUUUUUUCGUAUACUUUAUCAUCUACUUUACUUAAUAUCAUGCAUUAAAACAAAGUUGUCUUCAAUAAAUAGAGCGAAUGGGACCACAGCUUUUAGAAGAAUUCAACUCAAUGACAGUCUAGCAUCCAUUCUGUAUGAUGAUCAGUUCGGUACGGAUAUGAACGUUCAUUCCACCCCAUGUCAUAACUGACUGUUUUUGAAAAGACUGUGACUCACGCUUGGCGCAUGAAGCAAAGCGUUCUCCACACACGGGUUCAUAUUGCCCCAAACCAAACAAGCAUUCAUCAUUGAAGAGAACAGCCACCCCAUUCCCCAUUAAUCAGAUAUACAAGCGAGACGCUAAUUUGCGAAUAGUCGCCUUUCUAUUUGAUGCCUCUCCACUAGUAAAGAAUCUGAUGCGGGACGUCUAGAGACUAGGCUAUUCUCAUGAAGCUUUCUUUCGGUUUUAAACUCACCCUCACAUUACGGACCGUUUAGAGUUGACUACCUAACAAGGAGGCAAUUAAAUUACAGCUCCUUAGUGAGAUGAAUAGCAAUAAAACGAUCGUUUCUAGCCGUCUUACAUCACGAUUGACCAAGACCCCUACGGUGGCUCUAAACCUUUGUAGAGCGGGGCAAACAAACCUUGGGCUAUGUAACGGUCGCUACGCGACUUGAUCAAAGCAUCUGUCCGGGAGAAAUCUCGACUUAAAAACCAUGCGUUUAAGUUUAAAUAAAAA